CAGGAGAGGUUAAAUAAUCAUCACCUGGCAGAGUACCCACUAGAGGCAAACUAGAGAGCGUAGGGUCAAGGUUUUAUGAAGCUGAGAGGCAGGUGACAGCGGGUACUACUACCUCUGUGUGUGUGUGGCAGAUCAUAUUUUGGCCAGGAUCAAGCAACGUCUGCAAUGCAAUGCACCCAUCCCAUUAGUAGCCAUUACGGGAGACUGAAAGAAUUCAGUUUGCACCUCAGCCCAGCUGGAGAAGAAAACACUGGCAUUUCUGCAGCAGCAACCACUGUGAAAGAAUACAGAGACCCUCAAGUGCCUGACUUCUGGAGACUAGUACGUGUGUGGGAGCUAUUCAGGAAUCCUUUUCAAUUACAGUUGUGUUGUGAUAGUCUCUGACUGCUGAUUGUUAAUCUUCAGCAAACUCUGUCUUGUCUUUCUAAGGCUGUUAUUAAAACUCUUACUGAGAGAAGUAAAAGUACCGAGGAAAAGAAUGCUAAAAUUCAGAGUGUAUGUAUGCAUUUCCAAAUGUACAGGUAUACUAUAAUAUCCUAUUUCUGUUGUUAUUACCAGCAGCAGUAGAAAAUUAAGGUAAAAGCUGAUUUAGCUUUCCAAUAUUUGUAUAACUACUCUGAAAGAUGGCCUCGCAAUUUCCUCAAAGAACAGAUGGAUGAUCUCGGUGAGGUCUCCUCAGCAAGUACACGGGUACGUGUCCUUAGGUAUUCUGCUGUAGUCUGACAUUGGUGAAACUGAAAUGCCUACACUAGACUUUCUCUUUUAACUGAGAUUGUCCACAGUGCCAAUGUCUAACGCUACUUUAAUUCUUUGAAUGGCAGGGACCAGUGACAAACAUACGAGCUGAUUUUUGUGUUAGUAGUUCACAGGUAAACAUCCAUUUAUGUUCAUGUACUGACACUGACUGCAGGCAGAAGCUCUGCAAGAAAGUACACGUGAGCCAACCAUUGAAGAAGACAGAUAGCUGGGAGAGAUCCACAGAUGAUCCUACUUACUGCCUGUCACUUUAUGAGAAAGUCAAUACAUAAAAUUAGUUGCUAUUUUGAGGUUGGGCUUUUGAUUGGAAUACAACUUCAGCAGCAGAAGGGCAAGCCCUUACUCCAUGACUACUGGCAAAAUGGACUUGCAUGGAGCCAAAGACGUGAAUGUGAAUGUGGACAUGAGCCUCUUGUCUUGUGCUGGGCUCUGCAUGAAUCAGCUCCAUGAUUUCCCCUUACAUUUGAUAGUUUUCUGUUUGUUUGUUUGUUUUUUGCGGGGGGAGCAAUAUGACAACAGUGAUAAUGGUAUUUUUGCAUAUAAUUUCUGUGCCUGGUCUAUAUAUCUGAUAUAUUUCUUCUUCAUCAGGGAGGCCUAGAUGAAGUAGACAAGUAGAGAGCAGACUUUUGUUUAGAGCAGGUGCUUAAAUACAUGUGUGUACACACAAAUGUACCCACACAGAUGUGUUUUCAUCUCAUCCUGUUGCUGAUGCAGAAUCUUUGCAGUGGGAUGAGUAGUAGUUUUUUUGCUGCCAGGCUUCCUCCAUAUUUCUGCUGUGACCAAAUCUGGCCAUACCUCUAUUCAUCUUCCUUAUAUUUUUAUGUAGUGCCUGUAUUUAUGAUAAAGGUUGUUCUGCUAUGCCAAAGAAAA